rnacentral:rRNA from 1 species
UUGGAAGUAAAAGUCGUAACAAGGUCUCCGUUGGUGAACCUGCGGAGGGAUCAUUACUGA